GGAUUGUAGUCUGCAACUCGACUACAUGAAGCUGGAAUCGCUGGUAAUCGCGAAUCAGAAUGUCGCGGUGAAUACGUUCCCGGGUCUUGUACACACCGCCCGUCACACCAUGGGAGUCAGUAACGCCCGAAGCCGGUGACCUAACCGAAAGGGAGGAGCCGUCGAAGGUGGGACCGAUAACUGGGGUGAAGUCGUAACAAGGUACC
rnacentral:rRNA from 1 species